CUUCCUAAGUCUCUCAUGCAAAGAUGACUGCAAUUGCAACCAUGAUUGCCAUGACAACUCCAAACAGAGAUGAAACAACAGAGUGAGCAUCAGAAGAAGGUGGUGGAGAAGGAGCAGGUGCACCUUCGGCUAGAACAGUGAUGACCAACUUCAUUUGACGAGCCGAACAGUGAUCAGCAACUCCACAAACAUACCACUUUCUUCCUUCUGUUUUUAGUUGAAUGAUAUCCUUUCCUGUAGAAAGUGCUUCAUUUUUUGGUGGAAAAGUGCAGCUUUGAAAGAGUGUGCCAUUUACUUUGAAAACAUUGUGCCUUGCCGGAUCAUAGUUGAAAACUAAAAAGAAAGAGAUGAAACAAAAUUAGUUCAUAUUAGAUUAAUACAUGUUCAUCUAAACAAAAGUUAAUUAUAAUUAUGAGAUACACUAAUUAGUUAAACAAUUGAAUAUGAAACCAAAUGGAUAUUUGUUUUUUCCUUUUAUUACAUACCUAGAUUGUCUCCAACACGAAAAACUUUGUCUUGAGCCCACUGAGUGUAAUCAAAAUCAACGGUCCAACCCUUGUCAUCACCAACAAUGUGAUCAGUUGCAAUUGCAACUGAUGAAAGUAAAACCAUGGAAAUAGAAAGGAUCAAAACUACACGAGAAGAAGCCAUUUGAUCAAAAUUUGAGUUUGGAAAAUAUUUCUCUAAAUUAACUUUAAAAAAAUGAGUGUCAAAAUUUUAUUUCCUAGAAUAAAAUCUCAAUCAAAGGAAUAGCAAGUUAGCAAAUGUAAUUGUUUUGAUUUGAUUUGAUGAAUUGUGCAUAUCAACUUAGGCUAUAUAUAUAUAUAGUUGUCAUGUGUGUGUGUAUUGAUUUUAUCGUCACAACAAUAAUAGAAUAUUUGUUUGCUAUUAUAAACGGCUACCGGAUUUGGUCGGCUUUACUAAGACGAGGUUGAAUUUCCACAACUUAUUAUUUUUUACCUUUUUGGAAUACACUUAUAUUAUUUUAGGUUUUUUCUUGAUUACCUUUGAAGAAUGGUGGGUAAUUUACCCACCAACCAAUGAAAAUGAGCAAUUUGUUGGUGGGGUCAAGAUAGUUCAUGGAUACCACUUAAAAAUGUGUUUAUGUGGCUAAUGUGUAUUGGUUGGGAUAAAUUACCCACCAUUCUUCCAUAAGUACCCUAGUUGUCACCAUUAUUUUAUUUUAAUGUAAAGAAACUUUUUAUUACUUAACCAAAAAAAAGUUUUCAUUUGUUUUUAUUUAACCACGUGGACGAUAUGUGAUUUUAGAAAGAAAAAAAAUAUUUGAAGCAAUUUGGCAAUAAACAAAUAUGCAAUUUAGUGUGGACCGUGUCAAAGGGAAAUAGAAAAAGUAUAUAGUUGUUCUUCCGGCCUUCGUUAUGAUUGAGUUGUCUCCAUGUAGAAAGUUUACACAUAAAUAAUGUUUUGAUUCUUACGAGUUUUUUUAUUUGGGAUCUUAGUUAUGUAAUCGAGUAUUGACACUUGGAGUACAAAUAUACUUGAGGAGGCUCGUAUAUAUAUAUCAAGUUCUCAAGCUUAAUUAGUAGUUUUGAUUUUAUAGAAAAUAAAAAUUUAAUUGAGAUCUUGAUUGUUCGAUCUUGAUUAAAAAGCCACAUAUCAUCUAAUUGCUUAUAAAUGACUAUAUGCAAUCUAAGUCAAUAUAAAUAUCUAAUGAGAUGAAAAAUAUAGCAUACAAAUAAAUGAUAUAACAUUGAAAAAAACAAACGUAGAGAAGAAAAAGUGAGAUACAUAACUCACAUUCUUUAAAGUAAAUACAUAACUAAAUUUCACAAGUGGACAUGAGUAUAAGAGAGAGAAAAAGUGAGAUAGGAACUUAAAAUGCUUUCAAGUGGUGCAUCUUGUAAAGAAGAGCUCGAGCUCAUAUAUUAUAGAAUGGUUUGACCCAACUUUUGAGGAGUUUGUCAUCUUCUUAGAAUGAGAAGUUGUGUCAAACAAAAUUUUGACUAAACUCUUUAAUUAAAAAAGGCCUUUUUUUUUUUUAAAAGAAGAAAAUUUUGUACAGAAGAAAAAUAAGGAAAAAGAACUUUAAGAAGGAGAUGAAAAUUACUUUUACAAUGCAUGGCCAACUUAUUUUCCCUACUCCCCUCUUCAAAUCCUAAUUUUUCUUUCUAACGUUGUCUCUUGCGGUUGAAUUGAUUUUAUUUUUUUUUUUACUUUUUUUUUUUUUUUUACGGCAUGUGCUCUUCUAUUGCUAUGUAUUAUUUUCUGGCUUUUUUUCUUUACAAUAUUUUUCGGUUAAUUGCUAUAAUUUUUCGGCAUGUGCUCAUCUAUUGAGUUAUUACAAUAUUCACAAAUUGGUUAUAAAAAAAAAAAUACUAUUCAUAAUAGAUUCCUUUAUGUAAUCUGUUUAUUUGAAACUGUAACAUCAUUGUAACCAAAAAAAAAAAAAAACUGUAUCAUCAUGCAAUAAUUAUUUACAGGGAAUUGGAGCUGUUGUGGGAGUCUUGUCUCAAGGAAGCUACAUUUCUAUAUAUAACCAUUCUUAUGCUCAUCAAGUUAGUUCUUGAUCAAUUGUUGGCAUGAUAUUUUAAUCUUUACUAGCUCUCUAACCCUUCUUGAUUUGAUCUAAUACUAAUUUGAGGGUUCUUGGCUUGAAGCCUUUUAAUGGCUGACCCACAAAAUUCGAUAAAAAAUUGAAUGGUUAACACAAUUAAAAUAUGUGGUAUGGUUAAUUACGUUCAGUGAUGGUUAAUGAAUCUAAAAAGUUGCCGCAACUCGUUUAUCAUCCAUUGCAUGCAAUUAACUACGAUUUUGAGCACUAUUAACCAUAAUUGUAGUUUAGCUUUCCUUUUUUUACUUUUGGUUUAGUCACAAGACAAACCUAAGGUAUUUUUCCAACACUUGAUGAGGAUCUCCUUCUGUCUUUUACAAGAAGGAUCCAAUUCUUGAAUUUCCUUCAGUUUUUGGCAAGACAUGCUUUUAUUAUGCUAGAGGAGAUAUCACCAUCUCCAUAUGAAGAAAACAUUGUUGAUGAACGAUAUCCUUUCAUGUCACUUCUUUUGAAUGGCAAGCACAUUUUUGUAUAUGGUCACUACUUACAACAUUGUACCUAAGACCAACUACUCAUUGAACCUUGGAGCUGCUGCAAGUGUUUGUGGUGUCAUCAACGGAUCAAUGACUAUUGCACAUGUUUUUGCUUCUAUUUAUUUUAGUGUGUGAUCGAACUGAUUGUGUCUAAGACCUAUCAUAUUCAGUGCCAUUGUUCUUCUAAUUGUAAACAUGAUGUAUGCAAUGGCCUAUGAUCUCAACUCAGUAGUAGUUCUUCUUAUGGGACGUAUUUUCUGCGUGUAAGUAAAGAUACACUUAAUACUCACAAGUUUCAUACUUUCCAUAAAUUUUUUAUUACAUGAUUACAAUGUUUUUGUUCUUAUCUUCUUAGUAAAGCAUUCUUGAUAUGUACGCACAUAUUCAGGAACAUGUUUAUCAAUUACUUUGCAAGAAAUUUCAUUUUUGAACUUUCCAACUAGGUUACAAUUAGCAUGUCAAAAAAACAUCUUAAAGGUGAAAAAUGUAUUAAACAUCGCACAAAUAAAAAAAAACAUCGUCACUUUAUGAAAAAUGUAUUUUCAAUUCCAUAAGAAUUUCGGUUAAGAUUUUGAUGUUUCAACAUCACUUAUUCAUCUUAAAGGUGAAUUUCUCUAGCCAUUAGGCUAUUUGACAAAAAAAAAAAAACAUAAUAAAUAAAAUAAUUAAGUGAUUUAGAUGUGAAACUAAUUUUCAUACUAAUUUUCAUUCAAAUUAACAAGUGUUUUCACUUCGAAAUUUUAGUUUUCCGGAGUGUAUUAUGACGUAAAAAUCACAAAUCAAUCGUAAUAAAAUUACAAACUAAAUCGACAACUUUAGUUUCCCGAAGCAUUCUAAGGAGUAACGAGUAAUGAAAUGGAGGAAUAAGAUGAAUUAACACGUGAGCACGUCAAUCACGAUAACGAUGACGAUAACACUGACACAUCCUAUGGAAAUUAAAAUUGUUGCAUGUUGAUUCGUCACACAAUGAAAGAACAACAACAAAAUAACAAAGACAAUUACAAUGUUGGAUUUGGGACUUCAAUUACAAGGUCCUGUGUUUUACGCGAAAAAACUUUCGCACCAUGUAGCACGACUCUUGCAAAUAUAACGGAAGCAGAGAGGUGUGUGGUUUUGAUUUUGAAUGCUUAACUAACGUGAGUUUUUGGGUGAUUCAUUUAAACCUAUGUUUUUACUGGAAUAAAAACACUAUUAUUUCUUUUGUUAAAUAAGUUAGUCGGUUUAUUUUUGCUUAUCAAAAUGAUACAUCUUCUACUUCCAUCAUCUUCGCAUACAAUCAUAGUUCAAAAAACUUAAAAAUUAAACUUCACUUGAAGCUAAAACACCCAAUUAAUUUUCAAAUUAUAUUCAAUGACGGUUGAGAUUCUUGCUCAUAAAUUACACAAUAAUUAAAUUUGAAUCUAUAACUUAACAAGAUAAUUGAGUUACAGAAGGAAAAUUCAACACAUGGAUAUUGUUGGUAAUCGAUUAUGCUCUAAGCAAGGCACACUGAACUUUCAUUGUUCUAAUCAAAUCUUUAUUGCUUAUCAAUUCCCUUUCUCUUUAUAGAUUACAAGUGAAUUACAACGGUUUGAUUCAAUGUGACUUUGAACCAACUAUCUAUACUAAUAGACAUAGUAACUAGACCAACAACCUAUAGAAAUAAUUAUCUAUUCUAACAAACUGAACAGAAAUCAGUUAAGGUUAUGUUGACAGAACCAAUAUGACACAAAUCAAAACCUUGAUUCAUAAACAAUCUUAGAAAUUACGGCCAAAACACAUUCCCUAAGGUCUCAAUCUUCCUUCAGAUUAAUCAAAUUCAAGCAAUGGAAGAACUUGCUUCUUGGAAUAGCCUUUGUGAUCAUAUCAGAAGCAUUAUGAUAAAUUUGAAAUCUUCUUAACAAUAGCUGAUCCUUUCCAAUCAUAUAUAAAGGUUUAUGACAGUGUGGUUUGUCCUCUCAUGGUAUGUUUGACUUUUGGAUCAAUGAAUAUAACACUUUGGCUAUCACAAUAUACAAUAAUGACCUGAUCUUGCAACCUCAAUUCCUCAGAAAUCCCUUCAAGACAUAGAGCCUCUUUAAUAGUUUCAGUCAAGGACUCAAGGCAAUAUAUUUUGCCUUAUUAGUUAACAAAGGUACAACCUUAUGCAAAUCCGCUUUUCAACUAAUGGUAGUGCCAAAUGCAGUAAAGAUGGAUCCACUUCGAGACUUUCUAGUGCCUAGACAGACUUCAUAAUCAGAGUUUACAAACCCUCUAUGGCAAUUUAUCUUCUUCCAUCCCUGGCUUCACCAUAAAUUAGAAUCAUGCGAAGAUAUCUUUUGAUCUUAUAGCAUCCAUUUCAGUGCUUGCUACUGUGAACAUUCAGGAUUUGACAUGAAUAUGCUAACCAAGCUUACUGCAUGAGCUAUAUCUGGUCUAGUGCAAACCAUUGCAUACAUCAAUGACCCUAGCUAUAACACUUGAUUAAGGGAUGUUGUCCAUAUUAUUAACAUAUAUUUUACAUGCAAUUAGUAAAUUUGGUUAUGGAUCUCAAUUGAGUUGAUUUCAAGAAUGAUAUUGCUUUCUCUUGGGUCUUUUGCACAUGGAUAAAGUUGAACUAAGAAGUAAGGAAACAUUUUUUAAAACACAUUAUUAUUAAUAAAAGUGAGAGUUACAAUUUGAAUACAAUAUCAAAGCAUAACAAGAUAUAAAACUGUGGAUCUAGUUACAAUAUCAUUAACAUAAAGAAUCAUAUAUAAUUCAUUAAUUCAAAAAAUUCAAACAAAUAUAGCAAUAUAUAUUGCCAAGAGGUUAACACAAACUUCUGUAUUAAUAACAAUAUAAAACUUCCUAAGUCUCUCAUGCAAAGAUGACUGCAAUUGCAACCAUGAUUGCCAUGACAACUCCAAACAGAGAUGAAACAACAGAGUGAGCAUCAGAAGAAGGUGGUGGAGAAGGAGCAGGUGCACCUUCGGCUAGAACAGUGAUGACCAACUUCAUUUGACGAGCCGAACAGUGAUCAGCAACUCCACAAACAUACCACUUUCUUCCUUCAGUUUUUAGUUGAAUGAUAUCCUUUCCGGUAGAAAGUGCUUCGUUUUUUGGUGGAAAAGUGCAGCUCUGGAAGAGUGUGCCAUUCACUUUAAAAACAUUGUGCCUUGAAGGGUCAUAGUUGAAAACUAAAAAAGAGAUAAAAUAAAAUUAGAUCAUGUUUGAUAAAUACAAAAGUUAAUUAUAACUAUGAGAUACACUAAUUAGUUAAGCAAUUGACUAUGAACUAAAUAAACUUGAAACCAAAUGGACAUUUAUUUUUUCCUUUUACAUACCUAGGUUGUCUCCAACACGAAAAACUUUGUCUUGAGCCCAUUGAGUGUAAUCAAAAUCAACGGUCCAACCCUUGUCAUCACCAACAAUAUAAUCAGUUGCAGCAAUUGCAACUGAUGAAAGUAAAACCAUGGAAAUGGAAAGGAUCAAAACUACACGAGAAGAAGCCAUUUGAUCAAAAUUUGAGUUUGGAAAAUAUUUCUCUCUAAUUGUAGAAAUUAACUUAAAAAAAUGAGUGUCAAGAUUUUUUUUUCUCCCUAGAAUAUAAAAUCUCAAUCAAAAGAAUAGCUAGCUAGCAAAUGCUGCGCAAAUAUUUGUUUUGAUUUUGAUGAAUUGUGCAAUUCUUAUAUAGAUGUGUGUAUAUAGAUUUUAUCGACACGACAAUAAUAGAGUAUAUGUAUGCUAUUAUAUUCGGCUACCGGAUUUGGUCGGCUUUUACUAAGACGAGGUUGAAUUUCCACAACUAAUUAUAUUAUUACUUGAACAAAAAAAAAAAUAUUCUUUUGUUUUUAUUUAACCACGUGGACUAUCUGUGAGUCUGCAAAAAAAAUUAUUUGAAGCGAUUUGGCAAAUAAACAAAUAUGUAAUUUUAGAGAGUGGAACGUGUCAAAGGGAAAUAGAAAAAGUAUAGUUCCUCCUCCGGCCUUCAUUAUAAUUGAGUUGUCUCCAUAUACAAAUACUUGAGGAGGCUCGAAUAUCAAGUACUCAAGCUUAAUUAGUAGUUUUGAUUUUAUAGAAAAUAAAAAAUUGUUUAAGAUCUUGAUUUUCCAAUCUCGAUUAGAAGGCCACAUAUCUAAACAAAGACAUCAGGUCUCAAAAAAUUUGGUCGAAAAAUGCCUUAGAAAAAUUAAUUUGGAUAUAAUAUAUAAUAUUGUAAAUAAAUUAUUGAUAUUUGUAUAGCUUAAUUGGUACUGAAAAGGCCUAAAAUACCCUUGGUCAUGCCUUAGAAAAAUUUAUUUUUUCUAAUGUUUUUAUAAGUAUUUUGUUAAAAGAAAUAUUUUAAAAGGUCUUAUUAAAUUUUUUGCUUUGGACCUCUUAAAAUAUUUGGACUGGUCCUACUAUCACACUCUUCAAAGUAAAUAGAUAACUAUAUAUUUCAAGCUGAGCUUGGUAACACAAGUUUAUGACGUAAAUAGGGACAUUAAGAUGUUAAAAGGUUUUUGACGUGUGAAGAAGAAAAAAGAAGAUAAUUAUAUUUCAAAAGAGAAAAAGGGAUAUAUAUAUAUAUAUAUAUAUAUAUAUAUAUAUAUAUAUAUAUAUAUAUAUAUAUAUAUAUAUAUAUGAAAUGUUAAGGUAUUAUAAAAAAAAUAUUUAUCUUAAAAAUUGUGUAUUUUACAUUUUAAAAUUUAAAAAAAAAUGUUUUUUUUUAACAUAAAUGCUUAAUAUUGCAAAAUUGUACAUCACGACUAUUUCACAAAAUUACAUUGCUUCGACUUGUAUUGUUUAAUUAAUUUAAUUUCUUUCUUAGAUGAUGAGUUUGGUAUCCAAAGUUAACUCUCAGCUUAAUUCCAUGAGACCACGACCACUUCAACUUGGUAUUCAUGAUUUCAUGGCAUGCAAAACUGGUAUCAACUCAUUGACCAUGAUUUCAUGUGACGGUGCGGUGGCUUUUUCUUUUUAAGGCAUACAUAGUCUUUUUUGUCUAUAUCUAGUUAUAAUUGCAGUAUAGGAAACAAAGAAAGAUAUAUAUAACCAUUCCAAAAGCUUAAAUGAAAGGAUUGAAAUAUAACAAAAAAAAACUCGCGAGAUAUAGCAAGGCUCUUUUUUUAAUAUUAACUUUGUCUUUUCUUUCCAUUUUUAAGAGAAAUUUAGGUCAACAAAAGUGAAUGUAUUUGGACUGAAUUUUUAAAUAGAUACAUCAACUUUUGUUGACCCAAAAUUCUCUUAUAAAUAGGACCGGAGCUAAUCCUAAUAAAAUCCCAGGGAUGGAACUCAAUUACUUUUUCUUAUUUUUAUUUUAAAAGAGGCUUUACUAAAAUACAUGUGAAAUAACCUCUUAUUGAUGAGUUCUUGAUAUGUGGAUGAAAUUAUCAUUCAACAAGCUAUACGUACAAGGAGAGUGCAUAAUAUACAGCAAAGAGGCAUGCACAGAAAGCGUGUGAGGCCUACAUUUGAUGCUAGAAAAAACUUGCUUCCUCUGUUGUAGCCAAGGGAAUGUUUUGGCCUUUUCAAUGUAGUUUGUUGACUUUUCAAUGCUGCUAGUCAGUCAGGUGAAUACAUGUUUGGAUUCACGGUACCUUAAUGUAAUUUUAUACUAUAAUCAGGGCCGUCCACUUGAAAUAGGAGGUUAGGCUCUCUUUUUAAAAUAGGUUCGUUCAUAGUGAAAUAAAACGUAAUUUUUUUUGUGUAGUUAAAUUUUAUUAAAAAAAAAUCAGAAUCAGAAGAAGUUCUAAACAUGAAUGGAAUUAAAAAAAAAAUAAGUGAAAGAGGUGAAAUUUAUCUAACGGUGUCGUUUGGAUUUGUCACUCCUCUGUUGUAGAAAAUGGUAAAACGAAUGGUUUAUGCGAAGAAAAAAAUGAUUAUUGUGAUUCUUUCAAUGAAAUAACUUUUCAAAUUGACUUAAUUAAGUGAUUAUACAAAUUAGGGGUAGUUUGAUAGGAUCCGAUUUAUGUACAAAAACAAGAACUAGAGUCUAGAAAAAAACUCAAACGUGUAUUAAAGAAAGAAAAGGAUAUAACAUAUAUAUUUUUUAUUUAAGUGGGGUGGUUAUUAGAUUUAAUUUUUCGUUAGAGGACCGUAAUAUUUGGAGACCCGGCCUGGUUGAGCACCAUGCUCACCCUCGAGGCCGGGCCUGACUAUAAUAGAAACAUAUUAUUGUGUACCUUUUAAAAGUACAAUAAAUUUCAAGUUAACUUUGCUUGCUCUUGAGUUUCAGAUAGAAAAAUUGUUUUACUUUUGCUUGAGCAACAAAGAGUACUUGCUUAGAGGCUGUCGCAUAUUGGAAAAGAUCACCAAAAUCUUCUAUAGCAACCAGAUAACUCAAAGAUAUCUGAAAUCCAAGAAGCUACUGGUUUGAGAAAGAUGUUGAAGAAGUUUGAUAAGCGGUUCGGCUAUACAUUCACCGACUAUCAUGUCAAGACACACGCAAAUCAUCUUUACUCUCAUGUAAGACAGGUUUGUGAUAAUGUUUCUAACCCUGACUAUAUCAUGUUUAAUGUUACAAUACUAAUGUUACAAAAUAUAAGAUAAUAUUUUUGUAAUAGAUUCCUUUUAUGUAAUCUUUGUUGUGGGAGUCUUGUCUCAUAAUCUUGCAUGCCUUCAUGAUUUACAGAAAUGUCAAGGAAGCUACAUUUCUAUAUAUAACCAACCUUCUUAUGCUCAUCAAGUUAGUUCUUGAUCCAUUAUUUACAUGAUACUUUUAAUCUUUACUAGCUCUCUAAUCAUUCUUGUGUUUGAUCUAAUGCUAAUUUGAGUAUUCCUGCCUUUUAAUGGUUGACACAAAAAAAUUCGACAAAUAAUUGAAUGGUUAACACAAUUAAAUUAUGUGUUAUGGUUAAUUACGUUUAAUGGAUGGUUAAUGAAUAUAUAAAGGUGUCGCAACUCAUUUAUCAUCAAUUGCACGUAAUUAACUACAAUUUUGAGCACUAUUAACCAUAAUUGUAAUUUAGCUUAAUUUUUUUUUACUUUUGGUUCACUCAUGAGACAAACCUAAGGUAUUCUUCCAACACUUGAUGAGGAUCUCCUUAUGUCUUUUACUUGAAGGAUCAAAUUCUUGAAUUUCCUUCGGUUUUUGGGGAGACAUGCAUGCUUUUAUUUUGCUACAAGAGGAGAUAUCACCAUCUCCAUCUAAAGAAAACAUUGUUGAUGAAAUAUAUCAUUUCAUGUCACUUCUUUUGAACUUGGCAAGCACAUUUUUGUAUAUGGUCGCUACUUACAUCAUUGUACCUAUGACCGGAAACUACUCAUUGAACCUUGGAGCUGCUGCAAGUGUUUGUGGUGUUGUCGUCGGAUCAAUGGCUAUUGCACAAGUUUUUGCUUCUGUUUAUUUCAGUAUGUGGUCGAACCGAUCGUGUCUAAGACUUAUCAUAUUCAGUGUUAUUGUUCAUCUAAUUGUAAACAUCAAGUAUGCAAUGGCCUAUCAUCUCAACUCAGUAGUAGUUCUUCUUAUGGGACGCCUUUUCUGCGAGUAAGUAAAAUACACAUAAUACUCUCAAGUAUCAUACUUUCAAUAAAAAUUUCAUGACAUGACUAUGAUGUUUUUAUUUUUAUCUUCUUAGUAAAACAAAUAUGGUAUGUACGCACGUAUUCAGAAAUGUGUUUAUGAAUUACUUUGCAACAAAUUACAUGUUUGAACUUUACAAUUAGGUUACAGUUAGCAUGACAUUGUGGAAGAGAUACAACACAUGUUCAUGAAGGUGAGAAAAAACACAAGACGGAGGGUUGAAUUGUGUUGGCUUUUUCUUCUUUUUCUCCUAACUGAAAACACAGAUCAGAAGCGGAUAGAGUUAUACUUUUGAAUAGAUGUUCAGAACUAAUUGUAGUGGAUAAAAACAGAGCGAGAGAAGAAAGACACAAGCAAUUUAUACAGGUUCCUUCCACAAACCGGAAGUCAGUCAUGUCCCUCUUGCACUUCCAAGGAGAGUUCACUAUGUAAUAUCUGAUUACAAUUGCUCACUACUAAACUUAGUAAGAGACUUCAAAUGCUCAAGCACAACUGCAAGAGACUUCCUAUGCUCCUGAACACAAUCAAGAGACUUCUAUUGCUCAAGCACAAUUGCAAGAGACUUCUCAAUUCAAACAGAAUUAUAAGAAAAAUGUUUGAGGUUGAACACUUAUAUACAAUCAGUGGUGUUCACAAUACAAAUCAGAUACAGACUCUAAAGACACUAGAAUUUCUAAGAUAUAAGCUUUGAUAAGAAAUUCUAAGUGAACUUUGAAUGCAGAACAAUUUCAGUAGAGUUUCAGCUCAGUAGAGUUGCAGCCAUUAAAACUCUUUCGGAGAGUUUGCCGUCCAUUUGGGUCCCACAAGAUCCGAUAGAUUAGUCUUAGUUGCGUAUGGAGGAUAUCUGGUUUAUGCAAAAAAAAAAAAAAAAAAAAAAAGAGAUUGUUAAUAAAAGAAAGCUAAUAAAAGAAAACACAUUGCUCAUAUUAUAACACGUAAUUUUUGGUGGUGAUAUAACCCGUCAUUUGUUAAAUAAAUUAUUAAUAUAUACCUAAAAUAUGAAUUUAAAUAGGGUCUCGCGAAUGAACAGUGAGAUUGUACCCUUCAGGUUAAUCCGUCAUUGGAUCAGAUAUCGAAUUUAAAAAUAAAAACUACUUAGAAUAUAAAUAAAAUAAAUCUUAGUUAUCUUUAUUGGAAAAAUUAUCAAAAAUGAAUGGUCAGAAUGAAAAUAAUGAGAACAUGUAGGCAAACAAAAUUAUUUCCUUAUAAAUAUAUGCAAACAAAAUUAUUUCCUUGUAAAUAUAUGAAAUUGAUUAAAAUAAAUAACUUAAUCAAAUAAUCAUCUAGAAUUUCCUCUACCAAUUUAAUAUUUACAAAAUGAAUGAAUUACCAAUUAAAUUUGACAAAAUCUAUGCUAAUGAAAUAUAAUUUAAAAUGAAAUUUAAUGAAUGAGAAACGAAUAAAUAGUUUGAAAAAAAGGAUAAAACUCGUGUGAAUUUCAUUAUAUGUUUUUCAUAUGAUUCUUAGGUAAAAAUACAUUUUUAAUGAGUAGUUUAUUUCGGAACCAUACGAAAAACAUCUAAGAAAAUGCACCAAGUUUUUUGAUAGAAUUAAAUAAGGAUAAAACUUAGGUGCAUUUUCUUAAAUACUUUUCGUGUGGUACUUUAUAUAAAAUACUCACAACUACCUAUGAUUUUUCCAAUCCACAAUUUUUUCAACAUUUGUUAUAACCACAAAAAAUGAAUUUUAAUUAUGUGAGGAACCAUACGAAAAACAUGUAAGGAAAAUGGACCGAAGUUUUGUCCUUAUAAUUAAGGAUAUUUUUUGAAUGACAAAUAUCAACAAUUAGUUGUUAAAAAAGGACACAAAGUAUAUAAAUGAAUAAAAAAAAAUCAAAUGAAUAUAAUAUAAUAGUAGACUUAUGAAGGGGAAAAAUAAUAGUAAUAGUAGCAGUAAAUAGGGAUGCAAAAAAAAUAUAUAUGCAUGAUAUUCAUAGAUAAAAUCGACCAUUGACACACAGUGAAUAGCUUAACAUGUACACAGAGAUAAAAUAAAUUAAUAUUUCAAGUAAUUUAAGUUAAUGGAUACAUAUGUAGAAGUAUUGGUAUCUCUAGACACAAUUUAUAAUGAUAAUUAAGACGUGUAAUUGUGUAGAGAUAUUUAUACUAUAUAAAACAUUGGUUUUUCACUUAAAAAAUUGUUAAUGUAUUAGUAUAGUACAUGUCCAUAAUAAUCAAAUUAUACAUUUAAAUAAUAUUUUUAGAAAAUAUAAAAAAUAAACUUAUUGGAUCCAAUUAUUUUGUAGUUAAAUUUAAAUCUAAAUAUGUUGCUAAAAAUUAAAAUGAUAAACAAUUAAACCCUAUUUAAAAAUUAGAAUACAAAGAAACUCUUUUGAAAUUUGGACGUGACUGAAAUUUGGUGCAUUUUGUUGAGAUAUUAAUUUUUGAUAGAUAAAAAGAAUAAGUUAAUUUUACAAAAUUAAAAAAUUACAUAAAUUAACAUGGAAGUGGUCACGUGCAUGAAAAAAUAAAAUAUAAUUUUUAAACAUUUCAAUAAAAUAUUUAGAUGUCACAUUGUGACAACUAGGGUACCCAUGGAAGAAUGGUGGGUAAUUUACCCCAACCAAUACACAUUAGCCACAUAAGCACAUUUUUAAGUGGUAUCCAUGAACUAUCUUGACCCCACCAACAAAUUGCUCAUUUUCAUUGGUUGGUGGGUAAAUUACCCAUCAUUCUUCAAAGGUAAUCUAGAAAAAACCUAAAACAUUUAGAUGUCACAUGUAUAAUAUAACAUAAAGCUUAACCGAAAAUUGAUCAAUUGAUGAUUCGGUUAAGCUUUAUGCAUUCGAUUAAUAGAAAAUAAUUUCUUUGACCACUUCAGUUUGCUUCAUCAGAAAAUUAGAUAAUAUAUGAGGUAAGACUCCAGUUUCAAUGAAUGAAAUUCAAAAUUAUAUACCUACACUACGGGGAGAUUAUCAUCACUACUAAAUCAUAUGACAUGUUUGCGUACGAAAUUUGACGAAUGCACAUGUUUUUUUUAUAUAUGUACAUGAAGUAAAAAUAACAAUAAAAAACUCACAAAAUUAUGAGGUUUUAGUUUCGAAUUUGAAUGAAAAGAUCCAAUCUAACAAUAUCGUCGUUUGUCAGGUUGAAUUGGGUCUUACGAACAAUAUGAUUGUGGAUCUCAAUUGAGUCGCUUUCUCUUGGGUCUUAUACAACAAUAUGGAUUAAGUUGAACUAAGAAGCAAGCAAACAUUUUGUAUAAUAAAUUAUUAAUGAAAGUUAGAGUUACAAUCUGAUUUGAAAGAACUCAUGCACAAACCAAAACAUAACAGGAUAUAAAAUUGAGGACCAAAUUACAAUGACAUUAACAUAAAUAACCAUAUAAUUCAUAAUUCAAAAAAUUCAAAUAAAUAUGGCAAUGUAUCUUGCCAAAAGAUUAACACAAAUACUUGUAUUAAUAACAAUAUAAAGCUUCCUAAGUCUCUCAUGCAAAGAUGACUGCAAUUGCAACCAUGAUUGCCAUGACAACUCCAAACAGAGAUGAAACAACAGAGUGAGCAUCAGAAGAAGGUGGUGGAGAAGGAGCAGGUGCACCUUCGGCUAGAACAGUGAUGACCAACUUCAUUUGACGAGCCGAACAGUGAUCAGCAACUCCACAAACAUACCACUUUCUUCCUUCUGUUUUUAGUUGAAUGAUAUCCUUUCCUGUAGAAAGUGCUUCAUUUUUUGGUGGAAAAGUGCAGCUUUGAAAGAGUGUGCCAUUUACUUUGAAAACAUUGUGCCUUGCCGGAUCAUAGUUGAAAACUAAAAAGAAGAAGAUGAAACAAAAUUAGUUCAUAUUAGAUUAAUACAUGUUCAUCUAAACAAAAGUUAAUUAUAAUCAUAAUAUGCACUAACUAGUUAUGCAGUUGAUUAUAAACUAAAUAAACUUGAAACCAAAUGAAAAUUUGUUUUUUCCCUUUUACAUACCUAAGUUGUCUCCAACACGGAAAACUUUGUCUUGAGCCCAUUGAGUGUAAUCAAAAUCAACGGUCCAACCCUUGUCAUCACCAACAAUGUGAUCAGUUGCAAUUGCAACUGAUGAAAGUAAAACCAUGGAAAUGGAAAGGAUCAAAACUACACGAGAAGAAGCCAUUUGAUCAAAAUUUGAUUUUGGAAAAUAUUUCUCUCUAAAUGUAGAAAUUAACUUUAAAAAAAUGAGUGUCAAAAUUUUAUUUCCUAGAAUAAAAUCUCAAUCAAAGGAAUAGCAAGUUAGCAAAUGUAAUUGUUUUGAUUUGAUUUGAUGAAUUGUGCAUAUCAACUUAGGCUAUAUAUAGUUGUCAUGUGUGGGUGUAUUGAUUUUAUCGUCACAACAAUAAUAGAAUAUUUGUUUGCUAUUAUAAACGGCUACCGGAUUUGGUCGGCUUUUUACUAAGACGAGGUUGAAUUUCCACAACUUAUUAUUUUUUUUUUUACCUUUUUGGAAUACACUUAUAUUAUUUUAUAUUAAUGUAAAGAAACUUUCUAUCACUUGAACAAAAAGAAAGUUUUCUUUUGUUUUUAUUUAACCACGUGGACAUACUUGUUUUUAUUUGGCAGUAAACAAGUAUGCAAUAUAGUGUGGACCGUGUCAAAGGGAAAUAGAAACAGUAUAUAUAGUUCCUCUUCCGGGCUUCGUUAUAAUUGAGUUGUCUCCAUGCAGAAAGUUUACACAUAAAUAAUGUUUGUUUCUUACGAGUUUCUUUAUUUGGAAAAUUAGAGAUGUAAUCGAGUAUUGACACUUGGAGUACAAAUACUUGAGGAGUCUCGAAUAUAUCAAGUUCUCAAGCUUAAAUUAGAGAUGUAAUCGAGUAUUGACCUUGUUUUGGCUCCCUAAGUGAAUUUUCUUGCCUUGCUUUCCUUAAACACUCUGACUUAUCUCUUUCCUUGCUCGCAUAUAUGCUCACUCGUUAAUUGAUACCCCAAGUCAUCUUUGAUCUUUUAAACCUACAAAUGUAAUGGAAAUAGGUCAUGGUAGCUACAAUGCUACUCAAAACCUAAUUAUCUAAUAUUUAUAACGAACUAGAGGAAUUUCAUGAAAUUUCUUUCAAACCAAAUUUAAUGGAGUUUAGAAAAUUUGGCACGUAUCAAUUACCUUAGAAGUUAUGAUGUUUAAUGUUUGUAUAACUAAGGAGUAAGUGUAAAAGAUAUAUUAAAGAUGGGAGCACAAGAUCUACUAUAAUCGCAACAUUUCAAAUAGAUUAACCAACUCUUAAGCAACGCAUUGAGUUAGAAUACCAAUCAAAGAAGCGGUAUUGUAUCCUUCUAUAGCUCCUUAAAAACACAUCUCCCUCUCUCAUACUAAGCAAUGUGGAAUUUUUUGUUUGGUAUACUUUUUAAAGGAUAAAAGAAAGAAAAAAAUAGGACAUAUAUACUCAUAUCUUGUUUGCUACACUUGUAUUUUAUUAUUUGAAUUCAUUUUUAUUUAUUUGUUAUAGACGAUAUUUUUAUUGAAAGUCGAGGGCAAAUAUUGGAAAGAGAAAAAGUCAUCCUAAAAAAAAUCAAAACAUGCUAUUUUCUUUAAACAGUAUAGAUAUAGAUAAAUUAAAACUAUAUAUACAUUAGUGGCUUGUAACAAAGUCUUCCCUAAAAAAAAUGUAAAAACUCAACAAACAAUUAUUUUUUUAACGACAACAAUAAUAUAACAAAUGUACCAAAAUUCUUAUUUUUUUAGUAACAAUAUAAACAUAACAAUACUCACAAAUCUAUAUAUAUAUAGGCUCCUUCUACUGUACACCCAUAUAUUUGUAUGUAUCAAUACUCCAAACUAAAAUGGUCAAUAGUUUUUUGACAGCAUGGAACAAGUAAGUUUGAUUGGAUUAUAGAAUUAGCACCACCAAACUUGUGAGUUUUACACUUUGGGGCUUUUAUUUUAUGAUAUAAUUAAUUUUACUUUGAUUUAACAUAAAACAAGUUUAAAUUGUUACUUCUUCUUCUUCAUGGCAGUUCUUCUUCUUAAUCUCUUUCAUUGCAACCCUUGCUUGUAUGUGGGAAACUACAAGAACUAAUUUGACAGAUUUUAAUUGAACUUUGCUGUUAUUUUUUAUAGCAAAAAAGGGGAUAGCUAUCAAAAACACUCACCGCACUACAAAAAAGGGGAACAACAAGAAAAACAACACAAAACAAGAUAGAUUGAUAGCUAAUUAGAAGUAAUAGGUAAUUGGAUUGAUAAGAAAGAUGACCUCUUUAGCAAAGGAUUAUGGAUUAUGUUUAUGAAACAACAUUCCAAACAUCAAGUAUAAGAAAAAACAUAAAAUUGUACCAGUAAAAUACAAGAAAAAAAGGUCACGUAUAAGAAAGCCAUGCCAUCAAUUUUUUCAAUUAAAAUUCAGUAAGCAAAAUUAAUGGUGAGAAAGAAACGAAGGAACAGUACAUAGAUUAUGUUUUUGUUCUGUUUCCGGAAAGAAAAAGAGAAGAUUACGUUUGAGAAGAUGAAUGUUGGAGAGAAAAUUGCGAUGACCGUUAAUGAUUUGGUUUUGUUUUGAUUAAAAGAAUUAAUUAAUUAAUUUUCUAAAAUAGUAAUUUGUACAAUUUUUGGGGGUUAAAUUGAAUAGAAAAGUGUACCAAAACUCUUUCCCUCAAGUCAAUCCUUAAUAAUGUUGGCAUUGAUCAUUUAAUUGAAAUGGUUAUUAUUGGUUAAAUAUUUGAGAGUACCAAAACACUCAAUUUUGUUUAAAGUACCAUAAAAAUUGCCAUAUAUAUACCCUAGUCGAAUAACAAAAUUCAUCAAAUCAAAACAAUAACAUUUUCGAAGCAUUUGCUAGCUAGCAAUUCUUUUCAUUGAGAUUCAUUCUAGGAACAUUUUCCCCGACACAUAUUUUACAUUUAAUUUCCAUACUUAGGAGAGAAAUAUAUUUCAAACCUAAAUUUUGAUCAAAUGGGCUUCUCGUGUGUUCUUGAUCCUAGCUAUUUCAAUGGUUUUAUUUUCCUCAGUUGCAAUGGCUACUGACACUACUAAAAAAACAAAAAUUAAUAAGGGAUACUUAGUGAGGGAAAACAUGAAAUUCCUCUCUAAUUCCGUCACUAAAUUUUACGACCAAAGAAUUUGUGAGGAAUUUCAUUUUUUGGUCACUAAUUUCCCUCGCUAAUUUUGUUUUUUCUAGUAGUGUGAUCAUAUUGUGGGUGAUGACAAUGGCUGGACUAUUAACUUCAAUUACACUCAAUGGGCGUAAGACAAAGUUUUUCGUGUUGGUGACAAUCUUGGUAUGUAAAAGGAUAAUACGAUUUUCCAUUUGGUUUAAAGUUUAUUUAGUUCAUACUCGAUUACUAAAUUCAUUAUUGUAUAUCAUAAUUUUAACUUUUAUAGAUGAACUGGUAUUAAUCUAAUACGAACUAAUUACGUUUUAUCUUCUUUAUUUUUAGUUUUCAACUAUGACCCUUCAAGACACAAUGUUUUCAAAGUGAACGGCACAUUCUUUCAGAGAUGCACUUUUCCACCACAAAACGAAGCACUUUCUACCGGAAAGGAUAUUAUUCCCCUAAAGACUGAAGAAACAAAGUGGUAUGUUUGUGGCAUAGCUGAUAACUGUUCUGCUCGUCACAUGAAGUUCAUCAUCACUGUUCUAGCAGAAAGUGCCCCUGCUCCUUCUCUUCCACCUUCUUCUGAUGCUCAUUCUGUUGUUUCAUCUGUGUUUGGAGUUGUCAUGGCAACCAUGGUUGCAAUUGCAGUCAUCUUUGCAUGACUUAGGAAGCUUUAUAUUGUUUUUAAUACAAGAGUUUGUGUUAACCUCUUGGCAAUUUUUUUAAUUAAUGAUGUUUCUUUAUUUUAAUGAUAUUGUAAUUAGAUCUUCAAUUUUAUAUUUCCUUAUGCUUUAACUUGUUCUUGAUUUUUUUUAUUUGAAAUUUUUGCAUCUGUCACAAGAAUUGUACUUCAAAAAGGUCCUUGACAGGUUUGGAAUGUUAAAUUUUAAACUUGUAGCAACACUUAUAUCUCAGCAAUUCAAGUUAGGUGUAAACAAGUAUGCAAUAUUGAGACCUUAUAGCCGUAAUUUCUAAGAUUGUUUAUGAAUCAAGAGAAUGAAAUAAUUCAAGAGAACAACUAUAAACUUAUCAUUAUUCUGAUUGGGAACUUUCACAUUAUAAACUUGGAGGUUUCUAUAUUAAUAUGUAUGAUUUCCCCUUGUGGUGUAAACCAUUACUACCUCUUUUGAACUAUAACUAUCAGUGAAACAAUGUGAAAAAUUCUUUGCGAUGUUUUAGCUUCAAGUUAAGUGUAUCGUAGAGUAUGAUAGUUCUGAAAGCAAAAAACAUUUAAAUUUUUAGUUUUAAUCAAAAUCAAAAUUUCAUAAAAAAAAAAAAAAAACAACACAUUUUCAAACGUUAGUGCAAUAAAAACGUGUCCAUCUUUUCGCUAGUUAUGAAGAGAAUAUGGGAUUUUGUGUUGCCUUUUUUGUUAUUCCAACUAUAUCCUUAAACAAAUUUUUUCUAUAAUAAUGUUAUAUUGUUGUUGUCAUUUAGAAAGAUAAAUAUGGUUUGUUACAUUUGAAAUUCAUAAAUAUUUAUAUUUAUAAUUUUAAUUUAUGUAAAAUAUAUAUAUAUAUAUAUAUAUAUAUAUAUAUAUAUAAAAUAUCGUUUAAAAUUUACAUGCAAAAUUUUCUAUAAAUUAUCGUUGAUAAUCUACACACAUCAAUAAAAAAUUAACAAAAACAAAAAGAAUUUUAUAUUAUAUUAAAAAUUAAUUUAUUAAAACUAGAUUUUUUUUAUUUGAAGUAAGAAAUUAAAAUAUUUAAAAGUAAAGUUAUCAUUAAAAAUUACAAAAAUAUGAACAUUUAUAUAUAUUUUGAACAAAUAACUUGAUCAGGUAAAAUAUGGUUAUUGUGUUCGUUAUCAUGUUCCGCUGUAAAUGGAUUGGGAAGGGCUAAUUUUGCCUAGAUAUGGAAACCAAGCCUUGUAGAGGACUCUUGAUUUGGUUAUAGUUUAAAAAAAGUCUAAUGUUGCUUUGGAUGAGAUUAAAAUAGUCAAAAUAAGUUACCUCUAAAAAAAUUGAGCAUAUUUUGCUCCCUCAAAUAUUUUUCAUCACAAUUUGGUUUGUAAGUCAACUCACACGCAUCCUUCAUAUUUUUAAAUAAAUUUUUAUAGAGAUGUUUAAAAACAUUAUAAAAAUUUCUCCUAACAAAUUUAAAAUUUUAAUUUAACAAAAAUAUUUUUAAGCGUUAAAAGCUUAAAAAUUUAUAUGUAAUUUAUCCCUUGUUAAAAAAUUAAAAUUUUAGAUGACACUUUUAUAAUAUACGAAACAUAAGUUUAUAAUGUAAUUCAAAAUCUCAAAGAAUACACAUGCGUUUACUAAAAGCGGGACCAAAAGUCAUGAUGAAACUAUAUAUAUGUGCUCUUAGGAUACACGUUAACAUGACCCUAACUAUAAUCCCCGUUAUAGUUGCCAAAUCGUGAAAAAAUGAAGAAAAAAAAAGGUUGGGUAAAUUUCUAAAAUAUAAAAAUGAACAAAAAUGGGUUGAGAGAAGGCAAUAAGCAACAACAAUAGACAAUAAAAAAAACAAUGAGAGAAUGAUGUCAAUCAUCAAAUCUACGUUGAGUAAUGGAACGAUUAAAAAAAAAAUUAGAUGGUACCUUGAAGAGAAUAGUGAAAUUCAAAAUCCAAAUAGCAAACACUUGAUGAACACCUCAAAGAUCGUGGGUUUUAAUAGAAGAUCGUGGAGUGGGAAUAUUUUCUCAAGUGUUUGUGGUGUAUUUUCUCAAGUGUUUGAGUGAACCAAAGUCCAGAAUGAGAGCACUUGAUAUGUAUCUUUCUUUCUUUCUCAAGUGUUUGUGAUGUAUUUUCUCUUUUUGAUAUAGGGAAUCGAUUCUCUCACGUGAAAUUCUCUCGUUAUUAAGUUUAACUAUUCAUCGUACUCCAUAAAACAAUUCCACUUGUUAUUAAAAAGCAUGUCUUUAGUUUACCUGAUAAUUUACAUAAUUUAUUUAUUAGAAAGAAGAAAAAAAUUAAUUAAAGUGUUUUUUUCUUCCACCAUUAAUCAAAAUACUUGAAUUUUGUUUUCCCAAAGUACAAAAAGAACAAUAAAAGUGAGAUACAUCCUCGUUCAUUAACAACACAUUGUUUAAAACUCUUUUUGACCUACACUCAUUUAUCUUGAUAUAUAUCCUUCUAAUAUAUUUUUUUAUACAAAAAAAUAAUAAUUUUUAGUUAUUGAAUAAGUUGUAGAAUCCGUCUCUAUGAGCUUAGCUCAAUUGGUAUAAUGAACAUUUCAUUAUAUAUACGUGGAUCUGGGUUCGAACCCCACACAUCUUACUCAUUCGUUAACUUAAUUUCAUAUAACAAUUUCGUUCUUUAUCUUUUUUACGUCAUUUUUUUUUUUGUCAGUUUACAUGAGUUUUCAAACAUCAAAUGUAAAAUUCAUAUGAAAACAUGAACGAAUGAUCGUAUAUUUGAGCACAAAGAGCUCAAAUUGAAAUAUAUAAAACAGCAGAUUUGAAUCUUGAAAAUUCAUAUACAAAUUGAUCAAAAUGACGUGAAAAAAAAUAUGUAUAUGGUAAAAUUAUUAACUGAAAUUAAGUUAAAAGAGUUGAAUAAUUUUGUCACAAAUUUUUUUUUUCAAGUCUUCGGAGACUAAGCCAAAAUGGAUGAUUAUCAAAUUGGCGCAGUAGUAAAUUGCAAAGUGCAAAACAGGGCACCCCACAAAUGAGUACGAUAAAAAAAAAAAAAAAAAAAAAAUCAGGAUAUCUUCUGUGAUCGAGAAAAGGUUCUUACAAGUGAAGGAGGCUUCCACCCUUGCCACACCUAUACUUGAGGUUCAACUGCGUGAACUCAAAGACAUAGUCAGAAUUUAAGUAGUUCCAAACUCCCUCUUCGUCAACCUAAAUUUUAAAAGUUAUACUAAUCUUCUCAACAACAAAAAAAAUCCUCACUCCACAAUCAAGCAUACAUAUGCAAUAUCACUUACAAACUAUCAACGAUUAAUAAAGAGAAUUGAUAAACCUUUUAGGUCCUGCUACGUUUAGGAUUGAAAAAGAUGCAAAAUCUAAAUGACAUUACCGGUCAAAUCAAGUGCUGUUAACCAAUUACGAUCUCCGAAUUGACAUAUGCAAUUUAGAAAUUAAAUCAGAAUAUCCAUACAAAGUUUGUAAGUAAAUUGAAAGAACAUAGCAUAAAUUAAUGAUUGAAAACAACUAUAAUCUAUGAUCAAAGCACAUAUAUAGUUUUAUAAAAUGAUUUAGCAAGAUUCUCAAAAAUUGGGUGGCUCGGUAGACUCCUCUAAGUUCUAACACAAAUCGCAUCAUAUUUUCAAACAGCAAUCGAAGUCAAAAGAAAAUAUACAUAUGACAAGCCACAUGGUCAUGUCACACUUGGUUAUGACAUCGGGAAGGCAUAAAUGUCGUAUUGUACUCCCAUACCAGUCACCAUAAAGUAUAACCAGAUACGAAAAAAUAUGGUGAAGGUAAAUAUUACAGUACUCUGUCUGGACAAGUUGCACUUGGCUAAAGAAUAGUCCAUUCCAAAAUCAUGCAUCUCAUUCAAGCAAUGUUCUUCAGAAUAUAAAUUAAUCAUAAAUACAAAGAGAUUAUUCCAAAAUCACUCAUCUGUAGCUUCAUUAGAUGAGGUUGAGCAGCUCCCCCGAGAUAGGUUUUCUUCCCGGAGUGUCACGACAGAGCUAAAAUUAUCUAGUAAGCAUUCUUCAUACAUAACCAUGAGCUUCUUAGCUACCUAUUUAAAUCAUGAAUAAGUGGACAUUGUUAGCAUUCUUCAUACAUAAAAUAGAAAUCAUGAAUUUAAGAAAAUAGAAGAACCAAAAAUAAAACGAAGCCAAAAAUUCAUAAUAGGAAUAAGAGAUAAUUCUAAAGCAAUAUAAAAAAUGGAAAAAUGACAUAUACCUCUUGAGUGGUGGCAAAGGCAUUUUUAGCAAGAAUAGGGAGAGGAUACAGUUCGUUCCUGAUUAUCCAUUCUAUGUAAUCAAAAGAAACCGGCUCUUUUUCCAACAAAAAAAGGAAGAAGGAUAAAAUUAGAAUAGAUAAAAAAAAAAAAAAAAAAUCAAUUAAGUGAUUAAUUUAAUGUGCUUACUUAUGGUUUGAGUGAACCAAAAGAGGAUGUCUUCAGCAAGUUGUUGAAGCAUUAGGGAGGGAUUAGAGCCACAUUUGUUGUGAAUGAAGACAUGACGCACCCACAAAUCCUCCAUAAGCAAACCAACCCCUUCUUCAAAAACUCUGAUUGAGUUAGUAAGAUUAGAACAAUCAAUCUCGGAUGAAGAAUUAGCCUUCAAAUUAAAUAUACAAAAACUGUUAUUAUGAGGAAAGGAAAGGAAAGGGGGACACAGUAAUAACCAGGUAAGUUAAGGUCGAUUAUAUGUUACCUGGAUUAGAGAACAACUAACGUUGGCUUCCUGGAUGAUAUCACCAGAGGGAGUUGUUUCCAUUCCAUACUUUUUGAGGUAAGUUUCCAUUCCAAACUUAGUUACCUCUUCCUCAAAUGUCUCAAGGUAGGAGGGGGGAAUAUCACCAAGGCGAAUACUGAGAAGAAUAGAAUUCUUGAAUCUCUCUUUAAAAGAGGUGGAUUGGCUUAAAUCCUUAAGGUAGUCCUGCCAUAAACAAUCUUGCAGGUAAAGUAUGGUCUUCUUCUUUUUCUGAAUAGAGGGUAGGCUAUCUAUUUGAAACUUAUUUACUCGUUUCCGAUGAGCAUCGGCUUCCUUGAGAAUCUGAACAGAGCUAAAAUCAUGUUGUAAGCAUUCUUGGUACAUAGAGACUAGUUGAUCACACACCUACAAAAUAAGAGUAAAGAUUGAUUGCAAACACGGACGGUAAAAAAAAAAAAAUGAUUAUUGAAUCAAUAAAAAUAAGGGCACACACCUCUAGAAUGCUGUUAUCCUCAGGAGGAACAUUACUAAGGAAAGAAAUAAGUUGAAAUUUGAGUUGAAGUUUAAUAGUUGCUGAAGGCAGGUGUUUGGAUCGAAUGAAACGAGAAAAUAUGGUGUCACAAAGCCAUUCAACACAUCGCUCGGGGGACGACUCAUAGUCACAGAGGCUUUUGCGCCUAAUUUUCAAUCGAAUAACCCACCAAAAGUUGAUAGCCAAACUAAUCCCUUCCCUAAAUACUUUCAUUGAAUCCUCUUCUAAAUCCAUCUGAGAAUUAACAAUAGAAAAAAACACAUAAUUAAAAAGUAUAUUAAUAUUCUAUGCAUCGAUAUGAAAACAAACUUCAACGAUAGACAAGAACGAAAGCAAAGGGGUAUAUUACCUUAACUUCCAAAACAACGGAAUUGUCCAUAGCUGAUUAGAUGAAUGGGAACAAAUGAAUGAAUCGCGCACUCGAUUGGAACGAGAACGAUAACGAAAACGAGAAGCAGUUUAUCCCUAGGGUUUCCAGUUCUGCUUUUGCUACGGAUUCAUGGAUUUAUAUUUAGUUAGUAGUGUGCGGUUUGGUUCGUUUUGAGGUUAAAAGUCAUCUGAACGAUAAAAAACAUGCGGUUUGGUUUGGUUUUGUUGAUUUUUAAAAUUAAAUUCGAACCAAACCAAACCAAAUUAAUGUUGUUUGGAUUGGAUGUUCAGUGCAAUUUUUUUCAAGACAAUACAAUUAUUUGUUUCCAACAUUAAAAUCAAGUUAUUAAAAACCUAAAAAACAACAUGUUUCGAGUAAUGUUUCCCACAAUGUUUUAAAUUUUAUCCAACAAUGUUUUCAACUACAUAGACCAAAUUAAAAACAUGCACAAAAAAUAAUUCUAUUUUGUAACAAAUGCAAAAGAGUAUGAUUUUAUCAUUCUAUAAAAUUUUAAAUACAUUUUUGAAAUAAAAAGAAAAGAAGAAACUUUUUUUUUUUAAUCGGCAAAUAUUAUUAAACGCCAUCCCCGCAAUACGCAAGGUAUGGACGAAGCAAGAUACAAAUGGUUCUGUAUAUAGACGGUACACCAUAACCACCUAAAAACACCCCUGGAAAUAAACCCACCAAAACACAUCACCACCUAAACCUAAAACAGACUCCUUCAAAAAAAAAAAAAGCACUGUAAACACGGUGUCCAGAAGGUAAUAUAUUUUUUUCUACUUUUUCGAUGUUGUUUUAUGUUGUGGUGGUGGUGGUGAGGCGUGGGAGUGGUGGUGUUUCGGUUGAGGGAAGAGAAGGGUGUUUGUUGGGGGUGAUUUCCUUUGAAGGCAACCUCUGUUACUCGGGUCUAUGUUCGUCGUCACUAGCUCCUGUUUUGUGCUUUUUUGGGUGGUUUAGGUAUUUAGGGUGUUUGGAGGGAGCGGGUCCCGUUGUGUCGAGCCUUUUCCUUUCGAUAGGUUGGUUGUUUAAACUUUGCAUGCCAUGUCAUUCGUAUUACAUAUUGUGUGUUGGUUUCCGGUGGGCCGAUUACUUUUGCUUCGAGAUCGGUAGUCCGGGUCUAGUUGUAAUCUUUGUUUAGCUUGAUUUGGUUUUCUCUGGUGUACCGGGGGCGAGGGGUGCCCUGUUAAUUUGGUACUAAAGUCUGGUGAGACGAUCACUUUUGAUUCGAGAUCGGGAGUCAGUUCUUUGUCUCAAGUUCGUUUGUGGGCAUUUGUUUUGUGCUCUUUCGGUGGAUCGGAGGUCGCGAGGUUGUGAAAGCUACAUGAUCCUUCGGUCAGGUGCUCUUCGAAUUGUGGCUCAGCUUGGUUGUUGAGGUCUGAGAGUUUUCUUUUGAGGGUGUUCUUUGGGGGUGAGUAGAAAAGAAGAAACUUAACAAGAGAAAAAACAUGUCAUUUUAUAAAAGUUCACAUUGAGUUUCUAUGAAUUUUAGUAUAGAUGACAUAUGUUUAAAUUUAAUUAGUAUUUUUUUUUUUUAUGUUGCGGUUUGGUUUGGUUCGGUUGAGAAAAUAAAAACCACAAACCAAAUCAUGCGGUUAAGUAAAAAUAUGAUCUGAAUACAUCUGAAUCAAAUACGGUAUUUUGCUGUUUUGAUUUGUGUUGUUUCGGUUUACGGUUUAUCUAUUGGUUUGGUUUAGUUGUGAGCACCCCUGUUUACUAGUGUGUUAAUCUAUGCAUGCAUAUUCAAUCUCAGAUUUUUUAUUUUCUUAUUUAUCAAUGAACUUUUUUUUUUUGAAAUAUCAUCAAUGAUUAUUUAAAUAUGUCUGUAAUUAUUAUUUUUUUACUGCAAUGAUGACAAAUAUGUGUCCCAUAUUUUUUAUUUUUGUUAGUGGUAAAUAUAUGUCUCAUGUUCAUUAUGUAUCAAUCACAAAUUUGUCCCUUGUUUUUUCUUCUAGAUUUACCAAUGACAAUAUUUCUCCCGUAUUUUUUAUGAAUUAAUGACUAAUAUUAACAUUGUUUUUUUUUAUUAGUGAAAAAUAUUUAACUCGUAACUUUAUAUGUAUCGAUAAUAAAUAUUUCUCCUAUUUACUUUUUAUAUAUGUAUAAUAACAACAAAUAUAUGUAUGUGACUGUUUAAAAUAUAUAUAUAUAGUUAUGAACCUCAACAAUGAACAAUCCCUCUCCACAUCCUAUACUUACAUUACAUUCAUUAAUCAUUAUAACUACACCGCUAGGUAGACUUUCAAUAUAAUAGCCUCAAUAUAUUGGGAUCAAAUUACAAUAAUAUUAUAAAUCAAUCAUCAUAUAUAAUUUAUUGAAGAAGAAAAAAUCAAACAAAUAUGGCAAUAUAUUGCUGCCAAGUUGCCAAUGCAAACUCUUAUUUGAAUAACAUGACAAAGAUUGAGAAGUGAUGAUGUCUCUUAAGCAAAAAUGGUUGCCAUGGCCACUAUGGCUACCAUGACAACUCCAAACAUAGAUGAUACAAUAGAGUGAGCAUUAGAAGAUGGAGGAGGGGAAGGAGCAGGUGCGCCUUCUGCUAGAACAGUGAUGACAAAUUUCAUUUGAUGAGCAGAACAAUGAUCAGCUACGCCACAAACAUACCACUUUCUUCCUUCUGUUUUUAGUUGAAUGAUAUCCUUUCCCGUAGAGAGUGCUUCAUUUUUUGGUGGAAAAGUGCAGUCCUUAAAAAGUGU
rnacentral:lncRNA from 1 species